rnacentral:lncRNA from 1 species
CUUGUAAACAUUUUACAAAUUACAAAAAUAUACCACAAUUCCAUCUAUAUACAUUCACAAUGUCCUCUAAAUACAUAUCAAUACAAACAUAACUGUAAUAUAUUAUGCAGAGCUUAACGUUAACUUCGUCUAUCAAAGUUACUCGAGCACAUCGAUAAUAAUCAAACGUAAUCAGGACUUAUAUAUGCCUAUAAAAACCCCACCCGUACUACCGCCCUCGAAAUAUUCGUGCAGAAAACAACAGUAACAUCAGACCACUUCUGAUUUACAUACUAGCCAAACUUGUACCACAAGUCUAAAGAUAGAAAUAGAAUAGGGAAAUUCCAAAUAUAACGGAAUAGAAAUAAAUUUAAAUUCUCCCUCAUGAAU